rnacentral:rRNA from 1 species
AGCAGCCGCGGUAAUUCCAGCUCCAAUAGCGUAUAUUAAAGUUGUUGCAGUUAAAAAGCUCGUAGUUGAAUUUCGGGAUUCUACCGUCGGUCGGGCUAACAAGUCUGUACUGGUGUGUAGAAUUUCUACCUUCUGGGGAACUAUCAUGUUAUUAAUUUAGCGUGGUGGGAAACCAGGACCUUUACCUUGAAAAAAUUAGAGUGUUCAAAGCAGGCUUACGUCUGAGUACAUUAGCAUGGAAUAAUAGAAUAGGACGGUGGUCCUGUUUUGUUGGUUUCUGAAUCACCGUAAUGAUUAAUAGGGAUAGUUGGGGGCAUUAGUAUUCAAUUGUCAGAGGUGAAAUUCUUGGAUUUAUUGAAGACUAACUUCUGCGAAAGCAUUUGUCAAGGAUUGUUUUCAUUUAAUCAAGAACGAAAGUUAGGGAUCGAAGACGAUCAGAUACCGUCGUAGUCUUAACCAUAAACUAUGCCGACUAGGGAUCGGACGAUGUUAAAUUUUNUUGACUCGUUCGGCGCCGUUA